GGAGAAAAAGAAGUGUUCUAUAAGAAAUCUGGACAAGACUCUGCAGGAAGUUAAGAGGUCCUUAAAGGCAACUGUGAGUUAACGGAGACUGGUAUUGAGAAAAUCAGUCCUGAUUUGUUUCUCCUGGAGUUUUCUUCUUUAUGUGAUCCAUCAUAAAAGCUGCUAAUAUGGGAAAGAUUGAAAUCAGCAAGUUUCUGGCUGUAAGCUAAAAGAGGUUCUUGAAUCAUAUUUCCGCCUACUUAGCAAAUUUCUCUUGCGACAAUUGGAUGUUAUUUGGGGUUCCAUACUAGCAGGAAGAAGUACAAGCAAA